rnacentral:rRNA from 1 species
AUUGAACGCUGGCGGCAGGCCUAACACAUGCAAGUCGAGCGGAUGAAGGGAGCUUGCUCCUGGAUUCAGCGGCGGACGGGUGAGUAAUGCCUAGGAAUCUGCCUGGUAGUGGGGGAUAACGUCCGGAAACGGGCGCUAAUACCGCAUACGUCCUGAGGGAGAAAGUGGGGGAUCUUCGGACCUCACGCUAUCAGAUGAGCCUAGGUCGGAUUAGCUAGUUGGUGGGGUAAAGGCCUACCAAGGCGACGAUCCGUAACUGGUCUGAGAGGACGAUCAGUCACACUGGAACUGAGACACGGUCCAGACUCCUACGGGAGGCAGCAGUGGGGAAUAUUGGACAAUGGGCGAAAGCCUGAUCCAGCCAUGCCGCGUGUGUGAAGAAGGUCUUCGGAUUGUAAAGCACUUUAAGUUGGGAGGAAGGGCAGUAAGUUAAUACCUGGCUGUUUUGACGUGACCAACAGAAUAAGCACCGGCGAACUUCGU